rnacentral:snRNA from 1 species
GAAUGUGCUCCAGCUUCUGGAUUCUCCUGUCACGGCUCUGUGAGUUGUGUUCAGCUUGUGACUAUUCAAAUAGUCUAUCGGUUGAAGAGCACAACCACCCUCAAUAGAGGAGGACCAUUCCUCUGUCAAGGGCGUAUGAGUAGUUGUACUUCCCUGCUAGAACCUCCAAGCAAGCUCUCAAAAGAGUCUAGCCCAUGCCUUUUGGGGGAGGUGAAGUAGUUUUGUCUUUAGUUUAUAUUU